GAGAACAUAUAGUCGAGGACAAAAUCGGCCACAGCACUGGGCAUAUCGUAGCUCGGUGUGUGCGCAUGAUCGAAAGGAAUUGAGCGAAAAAUUUCUCUUUCGCUGUUCUCGUCGUUUCUAAUUGAUAAUUUAAUAAAAUGAUUUUCGAUAUGGAAACGGUUUAAAGUUGGUACGUUGCUAAUGCUUGUGAAAGUGCACCUUAUCUUUAUCGCGCUGCGCUGGCGCGAUUAACGUUUUCAAGCCGCGGAUGUACUGAAAAUGGGGAUACCUUAGUUACCGAUUUAUACAGUCUGAGUACAAAUAUAUUUGCGUGAUUGCGUAUAAAUUACAUGUGCAUGUGCAAGACGUACAAAUAGGUACGAGCUCAGAAUUGUAAUUCUGGAACUGAUUCGAAUAAGAACCUCGCAUCAUUGAGGGCUUUUUUCCAAAUUCCUCUAGGCUUACUCUUCGUUCCACAAAAUGUGUAUAACUACAUGUAACAAUAAUCAACGAGUUCUUUACUUUAGGUCAUUGCUGCACUCUUUUCUAGAUCUACAGGGAGAACAGAGUGUACUAAAGCGUGUUUAAUAUCGAGGAAUUACAUAAUUACGAGUAUUAUACGUAAAAUGAGUAAAGAUGAUUCGAUCAUGUAUUGAAAUUUGAAAAGGUGCGAAGAAGAAGGUGGCGCUAAUUAUGUGUACACUUGUGAGACUAAAUUAUUGAUAUUUUCUAAAAAAAAAUUAUACCCUUUCAUUCAUUUUGCCUGUAUGUUCACUCGAUUGCAUGCUCUGAAAAUUUUAGCUCGAUUUGGUAUUCGAUCGAGUUGCGAAAAUAAAGUAAAUGGCAAACCAGAGCUGUUUGUUGAAUAUUUAUGUUAGGUACUUAUUAUUUUUUAUGUUGAAAAUAUGGAAAUGUGUACUUUCUAUUGUAAUUAUUCGACUUAUUUAUUGUAAAUAUCUAUCAAAAGUGGAAAAAUUCCAACUUAAUUUGCUGGGCAAUAAAAUUCCAUGAAAUAAGAUCCUUAGAUUUUCAACGAAUUGAAUUUUUAUUUCAAUUUUUUUUUUUUCACUGAUCACGAAAGAUUUAACAAUUGAAAAUUUUUCACAGACGUACUCAUCUAGAUUAAUGGACAAGAUUCGUGAUAUCUGCCAUUUAACAGCUUCGAACCUUCCAUUUAAAGACUAUAAUGAUCUCCUAUUUACUACGUGCGCGAAUUUGUGCUAUAUCCAAGUUGCAAGUUCCCUGCUGCUCAGCUACAUGAUGUACUCAUGGUGUUCAUGGUGAAAUGGUUUGAAGUUUGGUGCUAGCUGUUUCGACUUGGACGACUUGGUGCUUGGUCCAUCGCGACUCGCGAGAGGGUCUCCUCUUCCUCCUGCGAUUGCGAUGCGUUUAUUCGGGGUGGAUGGACGAGUGUGAGUGUGAGUGUAGCACACACAGCGUGUAUGUGACUCACACUCGGAUACCUACUUCUCGCAUUUGUGUAGAGUGUAUUUGAAUGUAUUUGUAUACCUAAUGUACGAUGGGACACAACAAUAACACAAAGAAGUGAACUGCUUCGCUAGAAUGAAUUCUGAAAGAGCAAGAAAGAAAAGCAGAGAGAGCAAGCGGGAAGGGUUAACGAGGGGUUACUUUUGUAAGUAACCUUGACUGCGCACAGAAUCCGGUUUUAUCGUUCCAUCACCGUUCAUCUUCAUACGCUGUGCUGUGUGUAUCUCAUCUGGAUAGCCGAUAGUGUAUGGUGAGCUCAUUAACAAGGAAAAUACGUUUACCUGCGCUUAAUUGGGUUGUCGAUGGUUCUGAAUCUGGUAAUUUUAUUCGACUUAUGCGAAAGUAGAUCAAACACCGCGGCAUCAUUCUCCUACUAUACGUCAUUACCGAUGUGAAAUUGAAUUUCUAAAGUCGGCUAUUUUGAUAUUACGCGUUGAUAUACGGACUCGUAUUUUCUCACGAUGAUCAUACCUAAGUUCAAUUUGAAGUAUUUCAGAAAUGACAUGCAUUCUAGAUAAAAAUAUACCUAUCCCGACGUACUGUUUCAAGGCUACUCGGAAUUUAAUGCCCUACAACUUCGGUUUUAUACAAUUUUUACGUAGAACGUUUAGUUUCUCUGUAAUAUUACGUCAAAGUUUCAUAAAAUGUUUAAAACGACCUUAAUGUAAAAAAUAUAAUGCAAUUUAUAGGUUAUGUAUACAUUAUAAUGAAAAUUUGCGCAAUUCAACUUAACCAGACCGAGUGUUCGAUGAGAAAAUGCGUGUUGAGAUCGAAGUUGUGCAGCGCUAAAAACCCUACAAUAAGAUGGUCGUUUGGUACGCGUAUUUGUACUUUUGGUUUCCAAUUGAAUCCGAAAUAAGUAUACCAAUUGGCAGGUCAUUUUUCAAACAUGAUAAACUUGAAUGGAAAGAGUAUGCAAAAAUACAUCGCUAGCCAAAAUUUUCAGUGCCCAAGUGUUCGUGUAUUUUUUGAUUUUUGUUGCAUUUUUGAAAAUCUAGAAUUGUCAAAAUACGACUGGAGCCACUCGGAAUGUUGAAAUUAGCGAUAUAAAGUUGAUUUUAGCUUCCCACCUUCUUGCUAAAAUGUCUGGAAUUUGCAACUUUCAAAAUC